rnacentral:rRNA from 1 species
CCUACGGGAGGCAGCAGUGGGGAAUAUUGGACAAUGGGGGGAACCCUGAUCCAGCGACGCCGCGUGAGUGAAGAAGUAUUUCGGUAUGUAAAGCUCUAUCAGCAGGGAAGAAAGAAAUGACGGUACCUGACUAAGAAGCUGCGGAUAACUACGUGCCAGCAGCCGCGGUAAUACGUAGGGGGCAAGCGUUAUCCGGAUUUACUGGGUGUAAAGGGAGCGUAGACGGCGAUGCAAGUCUGAAGUGAAAGGCGGGGGCCCAACCCCCGGACUGCUUUGGAGACUGUAUGGCGGGAGUGCAGGAGAGGGAGGUAGAAUGCCUGGUGUAGCGGUGAAAUGCGUAGAGAUUAGGAGGAACACCAGUGGCGAAGGCGGCUUACUGGAC